GCCUUCGUGGUGUAGUGGUCAGCACGCUCGGCGCUUAUUCAAGAGAUCCGUGGUUCGAGUCCCGGCGAAAGUA
rnacentral:tRNA from 1 species